CUGGCAUCUAAGGUAUAAUAAAAUAAAAUAAUGACAGUCUGAGAGCAAUGUUGACAUUUUAGACUCUAUGAUGACAAUUUUGGUUCAAGAGCUAAUAAAAUACUGGUCAUACACAUGUACAGAGCUACCCCAAAGGGCGACCACCUGACAUACGCCCCAAAGGCUAUAUGUAUAUCAAAAGUUGUCCCAAAAACAAUUUAAA
rnacentral:lncRNA from 1 species